rnacentral:misc_RNA from 1 species
AACGCACCUUGCACCCUUUGGUAUUCCGAAGGGUACGCCCGUUUGAGUGUCAUUGUAAUCUCACUACGAUCGACUUUUGUCUUUUCGUAUGUGGACUUGGAUGUUGCCGUGAAUAAACAAACGGCUCGUCUGAAAUGCCUGAGUGUACCCCGCUUUGCGGCGUAUUCGGUGUGAUAAAUCUUCACCGGAGUUGAUCCCUUUAUGGGGUCGCGUCUGUAAUGGUGUGGCUCUAUGCUUCGAACCGUCUCCUAUCGAGACAAAUCUCUGACAAUUUGACCUCAAAUCGGGUGGGACUACCCGCUGAACUUAA